UACGGAGGAUGCGAGCGUUAUCCGGAUUUAUUGGGUUUAAAGGGUGCGUAGGCGGCGAGUUAAGUCAGCGGUAAAAUUUCGGGGCUCAACCCCGUCGUGCCGUUGAAACUGGCAGUCUCGAGUUGGAGAGAAGUAUGCGGAAUGCGCGGUGUAGCGGUGAAAUGCAUAGAUAUCGCGCAGAACCCCGAUUGCGAAGGCAGCCUGCCGGCCCCACACUGACGCUGAGGCACGAAAGCGUGGGUAUCGAACAGG
rnacentral:rRNA from 1 species